AUAUAAGUACCCAUGGUACUACUAGCGAACACUGGUCUCGGUGCGCGCACUCGCACAUCCGUGCUAGCUAGUCGUAUGUUGUCGAUCCUACUACUUUUUAACCCUAACCUUAGUUUGUUUACAAAAAUAAUGUAUUU